UACGUAGGGUGCGAGCGUUAAUCGGAAUUACUGGGCGUAAAGCGUGCGCAGGCGGUUCGUUGUGUCGGCGGUGAAAGCCCCGGGCUCAACCUGGGAAUGGCCGUUGAAACUGGCGAACUGGAGUGUGGCAGAGGGGGGUGGAAUUCCGCGUGUAGCGGUGAAAUGCGCAGAUAUCAGGAGGAACACCGGUGGCGAAGGCGGGUCUCUGGGCAACAACUGACGCUGAGGAGCGAAAGCGUGGGGAGCGAACAGG
rnacentral:rRNA from 1 species